AACGAACGCUGGCGGCGUGCCUAACACUUGCAAGUCGAGCGCGAAAGUUCCUUCGGGAAUGAGUAGAGCGGCGGACGGGUGAGUAACACGUGGGUAAUCUGCCCAUAGGUUCGGGAUAGCCCGGGGAAACCCGGGCUAAUACCGGAUACGUCCACAAACCGUGAGGGAUGUGGAGAAAGCGGGGGAGUUCUUCGGAACCCUCGCGCCGAUGGAUGAGCCCGCGGCCCAUCAGCUAGUUGGCGGGGUAACGGCCCACCAAGGCUAAGACGGGUAGCUGGUCUGAGAGGAUGAUCAGCCACACUGGAACUGAGACACGGUCCAGACUCCUACGGGAGGCAGCAGUGGGGAAUAUUGCGCAAUGGGCGAAAGCCUGACGCAGCAACGCCGCGUGAGUGAUGAAGGUCUUCGGAUCGUAAAGCUCUGUCGGCAGGAAAGAAGGUUAGCUUGGCUAAUAUCCAAGUUAUCUGACGGUACCUGCAAAGGAAGCACCGGCUAACUCUGUGCC
rnacentral:rRNA from 1 species